rnacentral:lncRNA from 1 species
AAAUGUCAUUAGGCUUCUUUGAAAAACUGGGAUACUACUCACUAGCUGGUUAUGCUAAUAGUUUCUCCAGCCCGGGACUAUAGGUGGGGCCAACAACUGGUAUUCCAGAAAAAAGAACAAAAAUUAUUUUCUGUUGUGAUAUUAAGAUUAAUGAUAGCCUCUCAAUAGCUCAGAAACUUCCGUUUUGUAAAUUGUGUGCUG